UACGAAGGGGGCUAGCGUUGCUCGGAAUCACUGGGCGUAAAGCGCACGUAGGCGGACUCUUAAGUCAGGGGUGAAAUCCUGGAGCUCAACUCCAGAACUGCCUUUGAUACUGAGAGCCUUGAGUCCGGAAGAGGUAAGUGGAACUGCGAGUGUAGAGGUGAAAUUCGUAGAUAUUCGCAAGAACACCAGUGGCGAAGGCGGCUCACUGGUCCGGUACUGACGCUGAGGUGCGAAAGCGUGGGGAGCAAACAGG
rnacentral:rRNA from 1 species